AACGGCCAUACCAUGGGGAUAUAUCGGCUCUCGUUAGAUCACCGAAGUCAAGCAUCAUUGGGCGCGGUCAGUAUUUGGGUGGGUGACCACCUGGGAACACCGCGUGCCG
rnacentral:rRNA from 1 species